GGCUGUGUGUGAGGAGGGAGGAGUAGGAGGUUGUGUGAGGGUUAGAUAGGGUUAGGUGGCUGUGCUGGGGACAGAAAGGAGCCAAAAGGAACUGCAGAAGGAAGAGAGAAGAAGGAAAGAAAGAGCUCGAGCUGUGUGGAGCUGCCCAUGGGAGGCUACAUAGAUAAGGCUCUGCACAUCCUUGGCAAAAAGAAAAACACAAAGAGAAAGGAUAAUAGAGCUGGUCCCAGAGGAGAAGUCAUCACUGUCCUUCAGAUCCACACCUUGGGUGACAAAGAUGGUAGAGUCUUCACUGCUGAUUUUUCCACAGAGCUCUUCUACCUGUGCUCAGAUCCUCAUCCACAGAGCUGCCGUUCCCACAGGUAAUGACCAUGGAGCACUUCUGGGAGUGAAGAUACAAAAUACUGGGGACUUCUGUGGAGACACAGCAGCCCUGUUACUGGGUGACGGACAGGUCCACAGACUUUACUGAAAAAUGUUCCUGUAGAGGGUUGUAAGCAGUUUGUUCAAUUUCACAAUAGAUCAAAGAUGUGAUUUUAGUGUGUCAAAUGCAAUGCAAUCCUCAGGCUGCCUGUAUUUUAAGUAUGACAUCUAGGGUGGGAUAUAUUAGUAUAUAUUAGUAUUUAUAUUUAGUUCAUAUUUUAGCGACAAAAUCCUACACAUUAGUGAAAACAAGCGAUAGAUUUUAUGGUCUUGUGCCAACACUGAGUUCUUGUUUUGCACAUAGGCUUUCCAGACUCUAUGAAAUUAAUAAAAACUGCUCAUGUUAAGCACUUCCACAGAUAUUCUGAAGCUACAGAUAUUUCUGUGAGAUAAAAUAUUAUGAAAACAGAACAGGUAUAGAGGGUGGACUUGCUUGUUAAAAUGUUAUGCAAGAUUAAGCUGUGAAAAUCCUUUCUGUGACCUUGCUUUAUGAAUAAAACACUGCUUGUUCCACUGGUGGGUGAAAUUAGAGAACACAGAAGAAAGGAAAAUGACAGCUAUCAGUUCUUAUGAAGUUAUGUCCCCAUUGCAAGCUCUGUGGGACAAAUUGUAAACUGUGUUAUCCAAAUGAAGACCAUUUCAAUUCUAAUCACCGCUAUUAAUAUGCAAAUUUUCUGAAUACAAAUAUUCCCACUACAGUAAAGCGCACAUUUACUUUGGAGAGUAACAGGCAUCCCAUUUUUUAAAACUCCUUUUUACCAUUAGUACCUCAAAGGCCCUACAUCACAGCUCUUAUGCUUACUGCUGGUUUUAAAAAUAGACUGAUUUCUCCCUGAGCAUGUCAAUGACACUGCUUCAGUCAGCAAGAUUUUGGAUGCCCAUUAGUGCUCUAUUUCCCUCCUUAGAGGUCUGUGGCCUCCCUGGUACCCUCUGUUCGAGGGUCCCCAUUAGGCACUGCGUUGUGCUACCACUAAACCACGUGUCUAGCUGGCUUAGGAUCAUUUUACUCUCCAUCACACGGAUUUCGUGUCGUUACAACAUAUAAGUGCUCUUAAUAUCUUCACCUUUCUAAAUAGCUAGGCUGGUUCAUCGUUCUGUGGGUUUGUUUACAGCCUGCUUCUUUGAUGGGAUUUGGGUAUUCUCAGGAGCCAAAUGAAAAGAAAGUGUGUUUAAAUGUCAUGGGCACCCCAGUGGCUGCCACAGUGCAGUGGAGGGAUGUAAGGAAAUGUAAUUAACCUUUACACCAUUUUAGGUGCAGCUCUGUUUAUGGUGAAUGGAGGUGAUGACAUAUUUGUGUUUUAAGUGAGAAUAUUGAACAGAUGUGUAACAACCUCAUUAUAUGAUAUUCUAAUAAUCCUGAAAUUGUUUUUAAAGGGACAGCUGCCUUACUUACUGUUGUGUCAUGCACAAAAUUGAGAAAAGCCACAGAGCAAUUUGCUGUUUUACUAUUUUACUAAAUACUACUUUAUGUGAAAACUUGUCACAAACCUAGAACCCCAAAACUUUCUCAAAAUACCCAAAUCUUCUACUUUCUCUGCUCUAUACCAACAAAAGUGAAUCAGAGAGAACUAAUCAAGGAUGCUACUUCUCAAUCUGUCAAUUUAAUGUUAAAAAAUAAUAUUUCAGACUGCACUCCUGUUUUAUUAGCAUUAGCUACAAUCUUGGAAAUGUCUUAGGGUUUCUAUGUCUGUGUCACCUAAGCAGUGUGCUUUGUUAAUAAAUUUAAAAGCACUCCAAGUAUGACAUUUUUAUUUUAGCUACAGUAAAAUUCUUCUGCAAAACCUGAGGGUUAAAGCUAGUUCACCUUCUGUCUAGAACUGUUCUUCAGCCCUCUCCUUUGUUAGGAAGGAAAAUGGUUAUAAAUAUCUGAAAGAUACAAGCCUGCAGGCUUGGGUAGAUUUUCUGAAUAUCAUUUCUUGAAGGCAUUAUAAAAUUAUGCUGCCUAAUGUAAUGUAGAUUAGUCAGCAAGGUAUUGUUUCAGUAAUGGUGCC